rnacentral:rRNA from 1 species
CAGCAGCCGCGGUAAUACGUAGGGUGCGAGCGUUUAUCGGAAUUACUGGGCGUAAAGCGUGCGCAGGCGGUUAUAUAAGACAGAUGUGAAAUCCCCGGGCUCAACCUGGGACCUGCAUUUGUGACUGUAUAGCUAGAGUACGGUAGAGGGGGAUGGAAUUCCGCGUGUAGCAGUGAAAUGCGUAGAUAUGCGGAGGAACACCGAUGGCGAAGGCAAUCCCCUGGACCUGUACUGACGCUCAUGCACGAAAGCGUGGGGAGCAAACAGGAUUAGAUACCCGCGUAGUCCCUGUCUCUUAUAC